rnacentral:rRNA from 1 species
GGUUCCUACGGGGGGCAGCAGUGGGGAAUAUUGCACAAUGGGGGAAACCCUGAUGCAGCGACGCCGCGUGAGCGAUGAAGUAUUUCGGUAUGUAAAGCUCUAUCAGCAGGGAAGAAAAUGACGGUACCUGACUAAGAAGCCCCGGCUAACUACGUGCCAGCAGCCGCGGUAAUACGUAGGGGGCAAGCGUUGUCCGGAUUUACUGGGCGUAAAGGGAGCGUAGGCGGAUUUUUAAGUGAGAUGUGAAAUACUCGGGCUCAACUUGAGUGCUGCAUUUCAAACUGGAAGUCUAGAGUGCAGGAGAG